GAUGAACGCUGGCGGCGUGCCUAAUACAUGCAAGUCGAGCGAACAGACGAGGAGCUUGCUCCUCUGACGUUAGCGGCGGACGGGUGAGUAACACGUGGAUAACCUACCUAUAAGACUGGGAUAACUUCGGGAAACCGGAGCUAAUACCGGAUAAUAUAUUGAACCGCAUGGUUCAAUAGUGAAAGACGGUUUUGCUGUCACUUAUAGAUGGAUCCGCGCCGCAUUAGCUAGUUGGUAAGGUAACGGCUUACCAAGGCAACGAUGCGUAGCCGACCUGAGAGGGUGAUCGGCCACACUGGAACUGAGACACGGGCCAGACUCCUACGGGAGGCAGCAGUAGGGAAUCUUCCGCAAUGGGCGAAAGCCUGACGGAGCAACGCCGCGUGAGUGAUGAAGGUCUUCGGAUCGUAAAACUCUGUUAUUAGGGAAGAACAAAUGUGUAAGUAACUAUGCAAGUCUUGAAGGUACCUAAUCAGAAAGCCACGGCUAACUACGUG
rnacentral:rRNA from 1 species